UACAGCCUACCAGGAACAUGUCGCUGUUUUCCGUGUAUUUUUCUUUAUCAUUAUAUUGAGUUGUGUUUUCAGCACUAUGUUGGUCAAGAUACCCAAGCAGUUUGUAUAGUUUCUGUCACUAGUGUUAUACAGUUUUCUGGUCAGUGUGUGUGAUCAUCGUGUCUCCUUUUUUGCCAAGCACAUUCUGAUUUUCUUGCUCAAAGGCAGACCUAGUUUCUAAUGGAAACAUUUUUUGUUCCUUAUCCUUCCUCUACAAGGGAUAAGAUUUGUUGUUUUUGUAAGAAAUGAGAUGCAGGAAAAAAAACCCACUCCACUCCUGCUCUCCUCCCCCAGUCCAAUUAGUAGAUACCGUUUAAGAUAAGAGUCUUAACUUCUCGGGGAAAAGACAAUACCAAGAGCUUGUAUUGUUACCUUAAUCACCUUACUAGCAGUGUGUGGCUUUAAGAAUUUUAGAGAUUUACAGUCUUAGUCUACAAAUUGGCAUUUCACAUUUACGAAGCUAAAAAUCCACCUGUGUCUACUGAAUGUGUGUGUGCUCAGUGUGGCUCUAGAUUCUGUCCCUGGGGCUUAGCAUUGCCAGCCCUGACAGGAUGGGGGAAGCCCCGUGAAUUUAGUGAGCAGCUGGCCUGGGUCAUCGUGCCUUGACCUCAGACCGGCUUAAAGCUUUUUAAGUCCUCUCAGAACUUGCAUUUCCAGCUUCUCCCCUUCAGAAUGAGAGAGAAAGUGGGGAAGGGUUAAGUCUAGCCACUCUAGGCUCAUCAGAACACUUGACCCCUCCAGAGUUUUUAAUAGCUCCCAGGAGGUGAAUCUACUGUCAGUGCUCAGCUAAAAUACCAGCCCCAAGAAUGAGAACUCCAUUUCAAACAGUUCUGGCCAUCCAUCAACCUCCACUAGAGGGGCUAAGUUUGACUGCUCUUAGCCAGGCAAGCACAGUAAUGUGUGUUUUAUUCAGCAUUAUUAUGCAAAACCCCACUGGUUAGGAUGGUUUGUUUUAGGAUAGGAAAUGAAAUUGCCUCUUGGUGACAGGAAUGGCCCAAGCCUGCUUCCUAUUUUGAUUUUUUUUUUUUAACUGAUGGAUGGUGCAGCAUGUCUACAUGGUUGUUUGUUGCUAAACUUUAUAUAAUGUGUGGUUUUGAUUCAGCUUGAAGAAUAAUCUCACUACAUGUAGCAGUACAUUAUAUGUACAUUAUAUGUAAUGUUAGUAUUUCUGCUUUGAAUCCUUGAUAUUGCAAUGGAAUUCCAACUUUACUAAAUGUAUUUGAUAUGCUAGUUAUUGUGUGCGAUUUAAACUUCUUUUGCUUUCUCCCUUUUCUGGUUGUGCGCUUCCUUUUACAACAAGCCUCUAGAAACAGUUUCUGAGAAUUACUGAGCUAUGUUUGUAAUGCAGAUGUACUUAGGGAGUAUGUAAAAUAAUCAUUUUAACAAAAGAAAUAGAUAUUUAAAAUUUAAUACUAACUACGGGAAAAGGGUCCAUUGUGUAAAACAUAGUUUAUCUUUGGAUUCAAUGUUUGUCUUUGGUUUUACAAAGUAGCUUGUAUUUUCAGUAUUUUCUACAUAAUAUGGUAAAAUGUAGAGCAAUUGCAAUGCAUCAAUAAAAUGGGUAAAU
ensembl:lncRNA